GAUGAACGCUGGCGGCGUGCCUAAUACAUGCAAGUCGAGCGAACUGAUUAGAAGCUUGCUUCUAUGACGUUAGCGGCGGACGGGUGAGUAACACGUGGGCAACCUGCCUGUAAGACUGGGAUAACUUCGGGAAACCGAAGCUAAUACCGGAUAGGAUCUUCUCCUUCAUGGGAGAUGAUUGAAAGAUGGUUCCGGCUAUCACUUACAGAUGGGCCCGCGGUGCAUUAGCUAGUUGGUGAGGUAACGGCUCACCAAGGCAACGAUGCAUAGCCGACCUGAGAGGGUGAUCGGCCACACUGGGACUGAGACACGGCCCAGACUCCUACGGGAGGCAGCAGUAGAGAAUCUUCCGCAAUGGACGAAAGUCUGACGGAGCAACGCCGCGUGAGUGAUGAAGGCUUUCGGGUCGUAAAACUCUGUUGUUAGGGAAGAACAAGUACGAGAGUAACUGCUCGUACCUUGACGGUACCUAACCAGAAAGCCACGGCUAACUACGUGCCAGCCGCCGCCGUAAGAC
rnacentral:rRNA from 1 species